UUAAAUUGAAGAGUUUGAUCAUGGCUCAGAUUGAACGCUGGCGGCAGGCUUAACACAUGCAAGUCGAACGGUAACAGGAAUCAGCUUGCUGAUUCGCUGACGAGUGGCGGACGGGUGAGUAAUGUCUGGGAAACUGCCUGAUGGAGGGGGAUAACUACUGGAAACGGUAGCUAAUACCGCAUAACGUCGCAAGACCAAAGAGGGGGACCUUCGGGCCUCUUGCCAUCGGAUGUGCCCAGAUGGGAUUAGCUAGUAGGUGGGGUAACGGCUCACCUAGGCGACGAUCCCUAGCUGGUCUGAGAGGAUGACCAG
rnacentral:rRNA from 1 species